UACGUAGGGUGCGAGCGUUAAUCGGAAUUACUGGGCGUAAAGCGUGCGCAGGCGGUUCGUUGUGUCGGCGGUGAAAGCCCCGGGCUCAACCUGGGAAUGGCCGUUGAAACUGGCGAACUGGAGUGUGGCAGAGGGGGGUAGAAUUCCACGUGUAGCAGUGAAAUGCGUAGAGAUGUGGAGGAAUACCGAUGGCGAAGGCAGCCCCCUGGGCCAAUACUGACGCUCAUGCACGAAAGCGUGGGGAGCAAACAGG
rnacentral:rRNA from 1 species